GAGACUAAUAGGGAAGUUCUGUCGACACGCGAUUCCAGUUACAGAAACUCUGGAACUGAGCAAUUACUGAUCAGCACUUCUCCAAAAGAAACUAAUAGACAAGUACUGCCGAAACGCGAUUCUAGUUGUAGAAACUCUGGAAUUGAGCAAUUACUGAUCAGGACUCCUCUGAGAGAGACUAAUAGGGAAGUUCUGCCGACACGCAAUUCCAGUUGUAGCAACUCUGGAACUUAUCAGGAAUCCUUUGAGAGACAUUCGCCGACAUUCAACGUCUUUUUUAGGACAAAGAAGACUCUCACCAAUUGAAGAAUAUAAUGCGGAUGCCGAUAAAAUUCAUCUUGGGAAAAUAUAUAUGUACAUAUCGAUGCCUGGGAGACGAUGCUGAAAAAAACGAUUCCAGGUUCGUGCGAGACUUGGCAGAAGUAAUUUGGGGUUGAGAAACUCUGAGAAUUUAAUAUUUAAGAUAUUCUAAUAAGGUAAAUGAUCAUGAAGAUACAUCCAAGAAGGAGAUAACGCCGACAAAAUACGAUUUAGUAAAAAAAUUACUUUAUAAGAAAGUUACUGAUGGUGGUGUCAGGGGAGCGACGCGAAAAACUCGAGCGACGAAAGUUUCCAAGUAUAUGUCGAAUAAACUAUAUGAUACCAAAGAAAGACUGAAGCGUUCGAAAGGAACUCUAAUCGGAUACUCGCGAGCUAUUGUUUGUAAAAGGGGUAGACCGAUUGUUUAUGAUGCUGUUGCUGCUGUAUUAGAAGUUUUGCUAAAUGUUACACCGGUUUAGGAAUAAUUGUAUAAAAGCAAAUCAGUCUCAUUUGCAGGAAAUUCAGUUGCGUUUACAGUAAUCAUUUACUGUGCAUGUAGUACUUAUCCAUCAAUACUUAUCAAUUAUAAUACUAAUCCGAGCAAUACUUUAUAAAUUUAUUGACAUUUUUUUGCGAAACUACUUACAUCCACACGAAUUCAGAUAUUGAGUAGAUAAUUUGGAAAAUUAAUUAAAUGGCACUAAUUAAGUUUUGUAUGAUCCUAAUAUCCAGAACUACAAAAAAUUUUAAUUUUGAAAAAUUGUUGAAUUCUUUCUAUAAUUUCAGACAUUUAGGAUCAUGAAAAUGUUCCUUAGUGCUUUCUAUUUGAUUUUGCAAAUUUAGAACUUCAUACGCUAAUUAAUGUGGAUGUAAGUUAUUGAAAAAAACAUCAAUAAGGUAGGAAUCGAGUAAAUAUUUAAAAAAACAAUUAGAAACCUUUCCAAAAUUACGCGUAGAUGGAAUCCCACUCAAAGCAUUUUCGAUAAACAGAGAAAACAUAUGAGAAAAAUCGCCCUAUUUUCCGUUUUUGACCAAUUUUAGAUUCUCAACUUUCCCCUUUUGCAUGUUUAAGAAAAUUGAAUAAAAAAUUGAAAUUUUUCAAACCCUAAGUCUGAAAUUUUCUUUCUAAAAUUAGACAAAGUUCCUAAUAACAUAUUUAGUACUUCUUAAAUUGGCCACAUUCUUUAUGACAAUUGCAAAACUAGUACAUAUUUUACUGUGCUCUUGGUCUGAUUUUAAAGAGCAGAUUUCAUACUUUAAUUCAGCGAGGUUCCAAUUUUUCCAAUCACUUUUUUGAAGCAAACAUAGAGUGGAAGUUUUUCUCACAUGCUAUCCUGGUCUCUAUUUUUCGAAAAUAUUUUAAGUAUGACUUAAUGUUUCAUAAUAUAUUUUUAUAAAAUUGUUUUCUUGCUUUAAAAAUGAGGAUAUUAAUUUAAUUCCGCCUUAGGUUUGUUUUCUUGCUAUAAAGGGCCUAUGGCACUUAACCGAUUUCUACCUUACCGAAAUUUUCUAGGACCAUACCAAUACUACACGAAAUGAGAUACCGACCUGAAAGUUUAAGAAAGUAAAGACAACUGAUUAAGGAACGUUUAUGUACUAAUGCAUUCUUACUAUCACA